ACCUACUGUGGUGCAGUUGGUAGCGCCUUGGAUCAGUAAUUAUAAGUCCUAGGUUCAAGUCCCAGUCGGGGUA